UAAUAGUUUAGAUCUUUAAAUUAAAAGAAUUUGGCGGUAAUUUAGUCUUUCAGAGGAACCUGCCCUGUAAUUGAUAGUGCACGAUAAAUUUUACUUUAUCUUUGUUUGUAUACCUCUGUCAUUGAAUGUUUUAUUAGGAUGGAUUUUUCUUUAAUUUUUAUGAAUUUAAUGUCAGGUCAAGGUGCAGCUGUGAUAAAGAAGAGGUGGGUUACAUUGAAUUUAUUUAUGGAGAUAAAUAUGUAAAUUUUAUUGAAAUAGGAUUUGAAAGUAAGUUUUAUUAGAAUAUAGAAUUGAUUUUAGCUCUAAAUUAUGCACACAUCGCCCGUCACUCUCAUUUAAUUAAAGGUGAGAUAAGUCGUAACAAAGUAGGUUUAUCGGAAGAUGAGCCUG
rnacentral:ncRNA from 1 species